ensembl:lincRNA
CAGUGUUAGGGAAGAACCUAUGUUAAUCAUGGUAUCUAAGAGAGAAUUUGGCAAGUUAAUUAACAUGUUCUUUUUUUUCUUGAUUUAAUUUUUUAACUGGAAAAUGCAACAUUUUGUUUGCAACAACAGUAGUUAUCAGGUCAGCAUCUGUAAGACAGUUGUAAAAAAGCACUUACAUACAAACUCAAAUGAUAUUUGUUUCAUAUAUUUGUAGUUUGUUACCAGUGAAAUCCCAAAGGGGUUACAAGAAUUAAACAUGAGAAUCUUCCCUGCAUCUAAAACAAUGUUUGCUUCAAACAUCAGCAACAGCACACUCCAUAAAGCCUCACAUAAUCCAAAGGAGGAUGCCUUUCACUCCACAUCCUAUGGCAACACAGGCAGAAAGACACUCUCCUGACCAUUCAGGAUUCAAGCUUGUGUUGCACCAGCCGUAUAGAGAAUCCCCACAGUAAAGACACUAUAUGUGUCCUUUAAUAAGUUUACCUUUUGUGUGUGUGGUUUUGUCAUUGACAGGGUUCUCUGACUCAUGGAGCUCAGGGCAAGGUCAGCCUUGCCUGAGUCUAAGGAAAAUAUUGGCUGAAUCAUUUGGAUUUCUUUUCUAAAGAUUUUGGAAUUCAGAGCUCAUGCUUCUUGGGAGCUGAUCAGUGUUCAUGGCAGAGGGAACUUCUAUGGCUUUAUGGACGUUCCCAGAUCUUCCAGAGCAGGUGUGUGGGGGUGUCUGAGCUACUCAUCCAUGGAUUCCAUGAGAUAUGUUAAUGUCUUUUAGAAAACGCCCUUUGUGUGCACUAGCUUGUCUAGUUCUCAUUGCAUGUAGCGUACAGAUUCUGCAAUAAUGUGUUAAUCUGUUGUGAUAGGAGAGGAUGAAGGUGGAGUUUGGUUGGAUCCAAAUCAAAAGUGACUUCGACACCCUCAAACCAUGAGAAAUGAAACACAGCUCAUGAAACGCGCGUCUCAGAUUAUUUCCUCAGAUUGCCUUGAGGCGAAAUCCCUGGGCAUUGGCUCACAAUUUCUGAAGUUUCAGUUCAUGAUUGCCUGGCCCAAAUGCAAACACAGCACAGAUGGUGGAAGGACCUGCCUCAGAGGAAAGUUUCUCACAUCAUGGUGCCCACGAAAAAAGAGAGAAGGGAGGAGUUGUGGAGGAAAGUGUACCCUCCUGGGUCACACCUCAGUAACCACCUCUAAGCAGGCCCCACCUCCUAAAAGCAAGUGAGCUGUAUCAUUCCCAUAAUCUAAUCACCUUUCAAAGCCUCAUCCCUGACCUCAUGAAGUUUUUGGGGCACACUCUCAAUCUAAACCAUAACAAUUUCUCACUGCACUAUCCCCAACCUCUGGGACCUUGUCUGGUAUAAAACUGAUGCUCAGUGCAGGCCUCUGCAAGACUGGGUCAGCCAGACUCAUGUCUUUCCCCGUAAGUCAGCAACAUUCGUGGACUAGGGAAAGAAAGAACAAGGCCAUACCAGCAAGCAAACCCAGUCCGGGAACCAGAGCCUUACAUGGGCUCUCACCUGACAGGGAACAGCCAGCCAGACCCCAGCCCCUUCUGAGGUAUGGGCUGGCAAACAAGAAGUACCAAUCAUUCCUCCUCUUCCUCACGUAAGCAACUGGCUUAUCUAGAGAAACACAGGCUGUGAAGAUAGCUAUGGAGAAGAAAUGCAAUUAGAUGCCUGUGGUGCUUUGGUGUUUCACUAACAUUGCAGGUCUAGGGCCGGCGGUCUGGUCAUAGGUAGAAGAUAGUGAUACACAGUGUGUGACAUCUACAGAGGAAUCUCCUUCUGAGGGCUGUAGCCAUUGUUGAUUCCUUAUGAUCUUGUUUCAAAGUUCUACAUCAUUUCUAUUGUUUUGUUGGGUUGGGGUUUAUUCUCUUUUGUGUUAUUUUAAAUUCGAUAGUAGGAGCAGCUAUUUCAAAGAUAGCAAGAUAUAUUAUGGUAGCAAUUUUAGAUUUGCUACUGGCUUGUUUUGAAGUCCU